UUAACUCAAAUCUGUAUGGAGUUGGAACGUUUGUCUGCGUUUGCCGCUAGGGGCGCUGUCCAACUCCAUACAAAUUUCUAGUUA
rnacentral:pre_miRNA from 1 species